GACGAACGCUGGCGGCGUGCUUAACACAUGCAAGUCGAACGGAAAGGCCCUGCUUUUGUGGGGUGCUCGAGUGGCGAACGGGUGAGUAACACGUGAGUAACCUGCCCUUGACUUUGGGAUAACUUCAGGAAACUGGGGCUAAUACCGGAUAGGAGCUCCUGCUGCAUGGUGGGGGUUGGAAAGUUUCGGCGGUUGGGGAUGGACUCGCGGCUUAUCAGCUUGUUGGUGGGGUAGUGGCUUACCAAGGCUUUGACGGGUAGCCGGCCUGAGAGGGUGACCGGCCACAUUGGGACUGAGAUACGGCGCAGACUCCUACGGGAGGCAGCAGUGGGGAAUAUUGCACAAUGGGCGGAAGCCUGAUGCAGCAACGCCGCGUGCGGGAUGACGGCCUUCGGGUUGUGAACCGCUUUCGCCUGUGACGAAGCGUGAGUGACGGUAAUGGGUAAAGAAGCACCGGCUAACUACGUG
rnacentral:rRNA from 1 species